CCCUGGCGGCGAGUGGCGAACGGGUGAGUAAUAUAUCGGAACGUACCCUGGAGUGGGGGAUAACGUAGCGAAAGUUACGCUAAUACCGCAUACGAUCUAAGGGUGAAAGUGGGGGAUUCGCAAGAACCUCAUGCUCCUGGAGCGGCCGAUAUCUGAUUAGCUAGUUGGUGGGGUAAAGGCCUACCAAGGCAUCGAUCAGUAGCUGGUCUGAGAGGACGACCAGCCACACUGGAACUGUGACACGGUCCAGACUCCUACGGGAGGCAGCAGUGGGGAAUUUUGGACAAUGGGCGAAAGCCUGAUCCAGCAAUGCCGCGUGAGUGAAGAAGGCCUUCGGGUUGUAAAGCUCUUUUGUCAGGGAAGAAACGGUGGAGGCUAAUAUCCUCUGCUAAUGACGGUACCUGAAGAAUAAGCACCGGCUAACUACGUGCCAGCAGCCGCGGUAAUACGUAGGGUGCAAGCGUUAAUCGGAAUUACUGGGCGUAAAGCGUGCGCAGGCGGUUUUGUAAGUCUGUCGUGAAAUCCCCCGGGCUCAACCUGGGAAUUGCGAUGGAGACUGCAAGGCUAGAAUCUGGCAGAGGGGGGUAGAAUUCCACGUGUAGCAGUGAAAAUGCGUAGAGAUGUGGAGGAACACCGAUGGCGAAGGCAGCCCCCUGGGUCAAGAUUGACGCUCAUGC
rnacentral:rRNA from 1 species